CGAGGAAAUAAAAAAUGCCAUCAAAGAGAAAAGCGAGGAAGAGAGACACCAUGGCCACCAACCACAACCACAAUCACAACCAGAGUCACAACCACAAUCACAAUGGAAACUACGAAGAAAAUGAGAGCAAUCAAGCCGUAUUAUCUCGGCGACAAUCAUCAUACGCAUUUGUGAGCAAUGAGCUUGAAGAAAUAUUGUCUAACACCGAGUUCACAUUCUUUGAGAGAAUGCGAAAAGCUACCUCGGUCGAGUUAAGGACACUGUUUUACCUAGCUGCACCAGCUAUUGUGGUUUACUUGCUCAAUAAUGUAGUUUCCAUGUCUACCCAGAUUUUGUGUGGUCAUCUUGGCAAUCUUGAGCUUGCAGCUGCUUCUCUUGGUAACAAUGGAAUCCAAAUUUUCGCCUACGGACUCAUGCUAGGGAUGGGGAGUGCAGUGGAGACACUAUGUGGCCAAGCCUUUGGAGCACGUAAGUUUGAAAUGCUAGGAGUGUAUCUCCAGAGAUCAACAGUGCUCCUUACAGUAACUGGGAUGCUAUUAACACUCAUAUAUAUUUUCUCCAAGCCAAUCUUGCUCUUACUAGGUGAAUCAAGAGAAAUUGCAUCGUCUGCUGCUGUUUUUGUGUAUGGUCUUAUUCCACAGAUAUUUGCCUAUGCUGCCAAUUUCCCAAUCCAAAAGUUCUUGCAAGCGCAGAGCAUAAUUUUCCCUAGUGCAUAUAUCGCAGCUGCUAUGCUUCUGAUUCACUUGUUAAUAAGCUGGGUUGUAAUAUUCAAGAUGGAGGGGGGGUUGAUGGGUGCAUCGCUGGUGUUGAGUUUUUCUUGGUGGAUUAUAGUUAUUGCCCAGUUUGUCUACAUUAUCAUAAGUCCAAAAUGCAAGCGUACAUGGACUGGAUUUACUUGGCAAGCCUUUUAUGGUUUGUGGGACUUCUUGAAGUUAUCCACCGCAUCUGCUAUAAUGCUCUGCCUCGAGACUUGGUACUUCGAGAUUUUGGUUUUGAUUGCUGGGUUGCUCAAGAAUGCUGAACUUGCCUUGGAUUCUCUAUCCAUUUGGUAACCCAAGUUCUAUUAAUUAAUUCAUAAUUAAUUUUCUUUCAUAUAAUUUGAGAAGCUAAACUAAUUUGGAAUCCACAAUUAGGAUAAUCAUUCCCAACUCUAUCAGCCGAGUGGACCAUUCUGUAGUCAAUAUGUCAAUUAAUAUUUAGAGGAUGGCCAAUCUUUUCUAAGUAAUUAAUUGAUUAUGGUACAAAUGGAAAAUUUCAAGUCGUGCUUUAUGCCACAUAUGGGCACACCUAAACUAAGCCAAUUGGUCGGUAAAAAAAAAAUUGUAAUCAAGGAUUUGAAUGUCCAAAUUUAUAUAUAAAUCCUGAAAUAAGCCCACAAUUGUAUCAUGCUCAAGACAUCAAAUUUCUUUCAGCUUGACAAUAUCAAUAUGGGUGUACAUGAUCUCAGUGGGUUUUAAUGCAGCUGCAAGGUGAGUUUUAUUUCUUUGUCUUUUACAUUAAGAAACCUUUAAUCAGUAUCUUAAUUAAUAUAUACGGCUUGUAAUUGCAUUUAUUUUUGUGUUUUGUGAACUAAACAGUGUGAGAAUAAGCAAUGAGUUGGGGGCUGGACAUCCAAAGUCUUCAGCAUUUGCCGUGGUGAUAGUGACCUCAUGCUCUUUUGUGAUAGCUUUGAUCAUAGCUAUUCUUGUGCUCUUGCAGCGCAAUGUAUUGAGCUAUAUCUUCACCAGUGGUACCACUGUUGCCAACGCUGUGGCAGAGCUCUCUCCUUUCCUUGCCCUCUCUAUCAUUCUCAAUGGAGUGCAACCAGUCUUAUCUGGCGUUGCUGUUGGAUGUGGAUGG
rnacentral:misc_RNA from 1 species